GCUCCAAUAGCGUAUAUUUAAGUUGUUGCAGUUAAAAAGCUCGUAGUUGGAUUUCGGAUGAAUGCGACCGGUCCGCCGUUUCGGUGUGUACUGGUUACGUUUAUCUUGCUGUCGGGGACGCGCUCCUGGCCUUAACUGGCUGGGACGUGGAGUCGGCGAAGUUACUUUGAAAAAAUUAGAGUGUUCAAAGCAGGCCUACG
rnacentral:rRNA from 1 species